ACCCGGCUGGCUCAGUCUGUAGAGCAUGAGACUCUUGAUCUGAGGGUUGUGAGUUCAAGCCCCAUGUUGGGUG
rnacentral:tRNA from 1 species